CCUCUGCCCUCCGCCCCCCCGUCCGGCACCGGCUCUUAAAGGGGCCGUGUGGCGUCCCCUCCGUUGCUGCGGGGGCGCCCCCCCGCCCCCCACCAACCUUCGGGGAGCCUUCCUAGCCCCGGCGCCCGGCCCCAGCACGCGGGGACCCCCGGCCUCGCGCCGCUCACCGCCGAGGAGGGGCCGGCUGAACGGGUCGUGGCUCGAGGGUCUUCACCCGCCGUGGCCCGGCCGGAGCUGGCGCCGCCUCCCCAGCCCCGCAGCCUUUGUUCGCGCGGGGCCUGCGGGCCCCGAGACCCUCGCGGUCCCGGGCGGCGAGGGCGCUGCGCGAGCUAGGCCCGCGAGCACUUUACCUGCGGCACUGACGCCGACCCUCUCCAGCACCCCUGGAGGUGGGAACCUGGGUUUCCACUUUACUCGGGAGCAAAUUGGAAGCUCGGAGGCGAGACGGUUUGUCUCAGGUCACACGUCUCACGAACUCUGGGGAGGGUGUCCCCAGUGCAGUGCUGUCCCCCAGGCCCCGCCGAUCACUCCAGCCCCUGAUGCUUCUGGUGAAAAGCCACCCCCAAACAGUGCUUAUCGGGGUCCACCCUGACAAUAUGUAUUCUCCCCCAGCCCCCAGUCAAGGCUGUCGAGGGUCUGCCCCCAGGCGACUUGGGGCCCGGACGCUGGGAGUCCAGAGCGGGAACAAACAUAGGCAGGAAAGACCUGGAUGGUCCCUAGACCUGGAGGAGGUCAGGGAGCUGGAGGCAGGAGAGCCGGGAGAAGAUAUGCACCCACACACCUACUGAUUACUGAGCACCUUCUCCAGCCGGGCCCUGUGCGGGGCACUGGGAUGUUAGCUCUGAGAAAGACGACAAAGACCAUUGCCGUGAGCUGACACUGACGGGAGCCUUUGAAGUGUCUGAGGCAUAACAGGAGCGCCGCAAAUUCGCCGAAUGGAUUCAGGAACGUUCGCGGGGCUUCAGGACAGGAGACAGAGGAGCACGUGUCCGGCAUCGACUUUUGAACAAGCUUGUCUUUAACGGAGUGCGCCAGCCUGACGGUCAAAUGCACAGAUCACAGGCACACGGAUCGUGACAUCAUCACAAUGUGAGCACAGCGAGGUCCCCGCCACUCGGGUCCUGAUACUAAACGACUCCCACCCCGAAUCCAGAGCCUGCCACCCCCUCUCCGAACAUCGCCCCGUCUCUUCAAACACCUGCUGUCCUGACUGGUGAGUCCAGAGGUCAGCUUUGCCUGCUCUUCAUCUUCGAAGAUGAAGAUGAACUUCAUCUAAGUGGAACAAGGUGGGACGUGUCCUCUGCUGUCUGGCUUGUUCCCAGCCCACGUCGUGUUUGUGAGGGUCACACCGUUGGCCACAGCUGAAGUCCUUUUAUUUUCAUUUCUUAAUAGCAUUCUGUCGUCACCGUUCAUUUAUGUCUUCCACUGUCAAGGGGCACUCGGGUCCACGACGCUCCGGAAACGUUCCUGCGUGUGUCCAGCCAGGUGUGCAUCUGGGCGCAUUUCCGGGUGCGCCCUCGGAGUGGGGCGGCCGAGUCACGGGACAUCGUCCAGCUUCAGUGGGUGGGAGCAGCGUGUGAGCCACGUGCAGGAGCACUGACGGCCUCCCGUCCUUCCCUGAAUGUGGGGUCGCCCGGCUGGCUCUCGUGCCAUGUGUGUGACUAUCGUUCUCUGCUUUUACUUUGCGUUUUUAACGAGGCAGAGAACCAUUUAUUGUGUGUACUGGUCGAUUAGAAAAGUGCCCGUUCCAGGGUCCUCCUCAUGCCUCUCUAUUCUCUCUCCAUCUUUUCAUUUUCGUUACCGUUUUGUGGCAGCUCCCUGCUUACCCUGGAGCGUCAGCCCUCGGAGCCAGCCUGGGGACAGACGCCGGCUGGCACUGCCUGUGUGACCCCUUCCUGGGCGCCAGGCAGGGCACAGCACAGGUCAUUGGCCCUGUUCACGCUGUGCUCGGUGUUUUUGUCCCGGUUAAGAAAUCUGUGCUCAGUGUUUGAUUUGCAGGUUACUUAUUUUUCUAUCCUUUGCUUUCAAGGUUUCUGUGUUUUUAUUUCUAACGUGUGUCUCUUAUAUGCGGGGUUAAAAAAAUAUUUUUUUUUAAGUUUUAAAAAGCAGCCUGUCAAGGACAUUUGUCCUCUAACUGGGUAUUUGGUGUGCUUAUAUCUGAUGUCCACUGUUUGGGCUUAAAUGAACCUUUUCACUAUUUGCUUUCUGUGGGUUCCCUCCCUCUCCAUUGAUCCAAAACUUAAUUUUUACUCUUUCCCACCUGUGAGGUAUCAACCUGAUUUUAGGGUGCUUUUCGGGGCUACCCUAGAGACGAAAAUGCACAUUUCUGACUCACAAAAAUCAAGUCAGAGGUAGUUAUUUUACCGUUUCCACGCGUGGCCGAGGACAGAGGUCCUUUGGGGCUGGUCCUCAUCCCGCACGGGUGCUUUCCACAUUGUGACUCUCAUUUAAAGUAAAAUUUAACCCCCCGCUGUCCGUUAUUACCUUUGCUCUGUGGAGUCCAGUUCUCUGUGGAUUCACCCACAUUUACCCUUUCCUCCUCAGUCUCCUCCCUGCACCUUGGAGCCGCCGCCUCUGUUGGAAGAAAACCACCCCCACUCCAUCGUCCCUGCGGCCUGGCACGCGGUUGGUGACCCCCCUGCAGUCUUUGUUGUCUGGAAAUAUAUGUACUGGCCCCGCAGUUCUCAAGGAUGUUUUUGCUGGUGUGAGUGUUCAGGGCAGGAGGUGCACGAGGCAACACGGCCAAAGCCCUCAGCAAACCGGAGCCCAGCAACGUGUCAAGAGAAUGAUGCGCUCUGAUAAGCCGGGCUUUAUACCAGGGAUUCAAAGCUGGGUUAACAUCUGAAAACGAAUCGAUGUGAUCAACCAUGGGAGCGGAACAGGGGAGAAAACCCACCUGAUCUUACGGAGAAAUCACAAGCGAGCAUUGGACAAAAUCCGAUGCCAUUCGUGGUGAAAACAGACAGACACCCCUCAGCGCGAUGAGACAGAGGUCCGAACUGAGGGGGCCACGUUCCCGACCGCAAGCCAGCCAGUCAGACGGCAGGCGGGGUUCACGGCCACCGCGAGACGGAGCAGGCCGUGGUCCACAGCAGCGUGUGCAGGACCGCGGCCUUGAGCUCCAGCCCCGCAGGGUCUCGUGCGGGGCACCUGUGCGUGCCUGGCGCCAGAGGCCCGGAACGCGGAGGGUCUGCAGCGCCUCCUGCAGGCAGGAAGCGUGUCUGCACCUUGUUGGGGACGAGACCUUGUCUCUGCCCUCCCAGGCCGUCGGGAAAGCGGGGCUCAGGCUGGUGCCCAGCUCACGAGAGGUGCAGACCUGCAGGAAACCCGCGGCCCACCGAGCGUGUGCCCCGUGAGCGCCCGGGAAGACCUGCCCCAAGCAUCCUCCACGCGGUACAAGACGGUGCGCCGUGCCCGAGAUCAGGGGCAGGGACGAUGCCCAGGAUCGCCACUCUGUUGAGGCUGAGCCUCUAGAUUUGUGGAAACCCUGCUGGCAUUUCAGUGGAACCACGGGCCGCGUAGAUAAACGUUGGGAAACCGGGUCUCCCCAGAGCGAGCCUUCCGGUCUGUGUGAGGCUGCUUUCCGUUCUUCAAGCGCUCUUUAAUUUCUCUCGGAGGUUUUGUGAUUUUCACUUUCGAGGUCUGGUGCACCUUUUGCACGAUUUACACUUCUAGGUACAUAUGCGAUUUUGGGGGGAUGAAUUAUAAAUGAUUUUGAUUUUUAGUGGAAUUUUCAAACUUGUUUAGCGUUUAAGGAAAAUUAGCUUCAUAGCGACCUUUUAUUCAGUGACCUUGCUAACUUUACCUCCUUGUUAUAAUGCUUAAUCUGUAGAUUAUUUGGGAUUGUC